CUUCUGGAUUAGGGAUAAAAAGGGAGCAGCCUGCCGGCUCUCAGAGAUUGUUGCAAAUAUUUUUGGCUGAUGGCACACCUUUCUACAGAAGUAACUUUAGCUU